rnacentral:rRNA from 1 species
AGGGGCAGCAUGGUCUUAGCUUGCUAAGGCUGAUGGCGACCGGCGCACGGGUGAGUAACACGUAUCCAACCUGCCGUCUACUCUUGGCCAGCCUUCUGAAAGGAAGAUUAAUCCAGGAUGGGAUCAUGAGUUCACAUGUCCGCAUGAUUAAAGGUAUUUUCCGGUAGACGAUGGGGAUGCGUUCCAUUAGAUAGUAGGCGGGGUAACGGCCCACCUAGUCAACGAUGGAUAGGGGUUCUGAGAGGAAGGUCCCCCACAUUGGAACUGAGACACGGUCCAAACUCCUACGGGAGGCAGCAGCGAGGAAUAUUGGUCAAUGGGCGAUGGCCUGAACCAGCCAAGUAGCGUGAAGGAUGACUGCCCUAUGGGUUGUAAACUUCUUUUAUAAAGGAAUAAAGUCGGGUAUGCAUACCCGUUUGCAUGUACUUUAUGAAUAAGGAUCGGCUAACUCCGUGCCAGCAGCCGCGGUAAUACGGAGGAUCCGAGCGUUAUCCGGAUUUAUUGGGUUUAAAGGGAGCGUACAUGGAUGUUUAAGUCAGUUGUGAAAGUUUGCGGCUCAACCGUAAAAUUGCAGUUGAUACUGGAUGUCUUGAGUGCAGUUGAGGCAGGCGGAAUUCGUGGUGUAGCGGUGAAAUGCUUAGAUAUCACGAAGAACUCCGAUUGCGAAGGCAGCCUGCUAAGCUGCAACUGACAUUGAGGCUCGAAAGUGUGGGUAUCAAAC